GCCAGGCGCAGUAGUGUGCACCUGUAGUCCUAGCUACUCGGGAGGCCGAGGCAGGAGGAUCACCUGAGCUCAGGAGUUUGAAGUUACAGUGAGCUAUGAUCGUGCCUGUGAAUAGCCACUGCACUCCAGCCUAUGGAACAUUGUGAGACCCUGCCUCUA
rnacentral:SRP_RNA from 1 species